rnacentral:misc_RNA from 1 species
AUAAGUUGGCCUUGUCCCAGGCACAGAAUAUUCUUUGGCUCAGGUGCAUCGUGUUGAUCGACCCGACGUUGCAUAUGGGAGAAUUAGGGGGGUUCAAAAUUGAAAGCUUUUGAACUGUAUUGUUUACGUUCGUUAUUAGAGCGACGAAUUACUUGGAUUUGUUCAUUAGCUUAAGCUUCAUGAACGGACAAGUUUUUAAAAAUUUAUUUUACUGUGAUUCUCAUUAAGUAGCAUUUUAAAUUGUUAAUUAUUUGAUAAAAGAGUGCUUAACUAGGUUUUUGAUUUUAAACAAUGGCUCCAAAAAACAAGAAGAGGAAUGGUUUCUACUUCUUUAUGAAAGAAAUGCAGCAAAGAGAAGCUGCUAAAGGUUACAACAUUUCAAUGAAGAAUUUACCUGACAUAGCUCAUCCGUUGUGGACACAACUUUCACUUAAAGAAAGAGAACCAUAUGAAGAGUUAGCUCGGCAACGUAGAAAUGAUCCAAAUCUGCGAGGAGCAAAAUUGGCAUCGGACGGAACCAGAGUAGAAGAUAAUUUAAGAGAAAUAGAAGAGGAGGAACGAAGAAUAAAUCAGAUGAAACAAGAUGUCAAAAGAUUUUGUAAUGCUAAUUGUUUAUCAGAAGAUGCAUUCAAAGAGGUUAUGCCCAAAAAAUUAAUUCAUUUUCUGUCUUUCAAUAUCCUUUGCCAUACUGAUGAAGAUGUUUACAUUCCAAUUGAAGUUGGAUUAGUGGAAUACUCAAUUGAGCAUGGAAUAAUGACGGAAUACCAUAAAUUGCUAAACCCUGGUGGCAUUCCUCAUGGCUAUACUGGAAUUGCUAAGCGACUCAGUGAAGACAAGCAUCAGAUAGACAUAUUCAGCUCUAAAGACCGUGAAAGGAACAUGAGAACUGUGUAUAGGGAUAUAAAAAAAUUCACUAGUUCCUCUGAUUGUGAUGAUUUUAUACCAGUAUUUUGUUUAGACACUGAUGUUGAAAUGGUAAUGGGAUGCUUGGAUUGGCUUUCAAGGUGUACAGGUGAAGAAAAUUUCUUUGUUGUUUGGAAUGCUGCUUAUUUGCUGAUGGAGAUGAGGGCUGGUGUUGGGCAUCCUUUCCCUUCUUAUACAAGUGCAUGCGACUUGCUUCAUAAAAAUAGUUUUGAUUUUCAUCCUUGUGCAAGAUGUUAUUAUCAUGAGGACAUAGACGUGAGUUACUGUGCUAUGGCAUACUCGAAGCGCUUGUGCUAUUUGUUUUCAGACGCAGUAUGUCAUUUGUUUGACAUUGAACUUACGCCUAAGCACAUACCAGCUCGUUCUGUUGAAGACAAAGACUAUGUGAUUAGUUCUACUGCUUUUUCUACAAAAUCUGGGUCUUCUGAUGGCCGACUGGAUAAGACCGCAAAAUCUGAUCCUUCGAUAUGUAUUUGAAUCAUGGCGUACAGUAUGGCUACAUAGGAACUUUUUAAGAUUUCUCUGUGUGAAAUACAAUUAUGAGCCAAGUUUCCUUCCAGAAAAGCAUUCCACUUCUUAGUCGAAGGAUUCAAGAAUGUUUCAUCAUUUUCAAUUAAAACAAACAAGCUUCUUAAAAAGAUUCUGACCGCUUUUCACGAUCUCGUUCCAGUAUCACGUAUAAUGAACAUUUGGAUCAACGUAAUGCAUAUUAUGAAAAUGAUGAAGGUGAAGAUGAGGAAGAGGAGCAAAACAUUGUAUCUUUAAUUCCACCUCUA